CUUUUGAGUUUUAUUGCAUCCUUUUAGCAACCUACCAAGAUGGAAACAAGCUUACUGCUGAGGCCCAGGAACUCAGGAUUCCCUCAGUUCCACCACCUGCAGGAUUUGAGGUCCACGGACAGAUAUUAAGUGUCAAUUCUUUAUUCAAAUGCUCUAGCCAGAAGGAGGUUUGAACAGCUCGUGAGCUGAAACAUAGUUUGUCUUUCAACUCCAUGCACCCAAAAUGAAGCUUGGAGAAUCAAAACAUUUCAAUUUCUGGUUUCUGAGUGUAAAGGGACUCAGUGAAGGAGGGGCACAAGAUUCCCUGAGUCUCUCCUCUUAGCCUAAUCUUUUUUUUUUAAUUAUAGGUUGCAAUUGGAGAAAAAUCAGAAAUAUUAUCGAAUUAGAAACAUGAAGUUACACUUGUAAUAGACUUCAGAGAUCAUUUGGUGAGCCAAAGCCUCCUUUCGAUGCUGAGAAAACGUCUCAGAGAGGCAAGAAGACUGGGGGUGGGGGGUUAGUUUUCUCCUACUAUGUAGAUUCUAGGAAUCCAACUCAAGUCAUCAGACUUCUCCCUUCUACCAUGUGGGUUCCAGGGAGCCAACUCAAGUCAUCAGGCUUGGUGGGCUAGCCCAGGCAUACACAUACAUCAGCUUGUGCAGGCCAGUGGUCAAUGACUAAGUUCCUCUUGAGUCACUCCACAUCAUUUUUUUUUUUAUCUAGGGUCUUCUCACUGAGAAUCAGGAACUCGAGGAUUAAGCUGACCAACAGUAUGCCGAAAAGUCAGGACUGAGCAGGUAGCUCACUGGUAAAGCUCUUCCCUAGCUUGAGACCCUACUUCCCAUCUUCAGUCCCACCACACACACCCACAAAAAACAUCAUAUAGCUUAUGAAGUUUGUACAUAGAAAAGCUGCUGUUCUAAGGAUUACUGUCCAUGACAUCAGGAAAGGGGUCCACACAUGCCGCGCGUGCGUGCCCGUGGAGGUCAGAGGACAAGCUGUGGGAGCUGCUUCUCUUGUCUCCUUCCGCCACGCCGCCGUGUGGAUCCAUCCCAGGGAUCGAACUCAAGUCAUCAGGUUUGACAGCAAGCACCUUCACCUGCUAACUCACCUUCUUGCCGCCCUCCCUUGCAGCCAUUUGCAAGAGCAACUACUGUGUUCCCUUAGAACCUUUCCAGUGCAACUGUAUGCCCAUGGAGCUGUGCGCUACACAGAUUAAAUAAAUAUCUGCCCAUUGUU